rnacentral:rRNA from 1 species
ACGAGGGGUGCAAGCGUUGCUCGGAAUUAUUGGGCGUAAAGGGUAGGUAGGUGGUCUCAUUUGUCUGGGGUGAAAGCCUUGAGCUUAACUCAAGAAGUGCCCCGGAAACGGUGAGACUGGAGUCUUGGAGAGGGUCGUGGAAUUCCCGGUGUAGCGGUGAAAUGCGUAGAGAUCGGGAGGAACACCAGAGGCGAAGGCGGCGACCUGGACAAGCACUGACACUCAACUACGAAAGCGUGGGGAGCAAACAGGA